CAUCUCUGGCUCUGGUGAUAAAUCAGCAACCACAUGCUGGGGAGACAGAAUGGAAACUCAGAAAAUAUACCUGCUUCACAAACUCAUUCCCUCCUCGUUACCUUGGCUUCUCACAUCAGAGAGAAUCAUCAGGCAGCCUGCCAGCAAAGCAGAGAUACAAAAUAGAGUGUGGAGGUCUGGUGCCCUGCCUGUGGAGUCUGGAAUGAACACGACAUGCUAAAUCUGAGGAGGACCAGGAGAACCAGUAAACUGCUGCUUCAUGCCUUGCAGGCAGUGCCAGCAGGAGCCUGGGUGAAGGGCAAGAGUGCAGAGACAGGUCUUCCUCUGGCACAGGAGUACAGAGCUUGAUGACACCUGAGAGAUCAAGAUACUGACAGAAACCCUGUAGCACUCCAGACCCCAAACUAAGCCUUUUGUCUGCUGGAGGAGUCUGAAGACUGAGGUGUACAGAAAGUCACCAUGGUAACCAUCAAAUCCAGAGUACACUGGCAGUACACACCUACGCUAAUGGCCUAGUGAUGAGUAUACCACACUUUUAAGUAUUAUUACCUCAGGCUCCAUAUUUAAUUGAAAAUUACAGAAAACAUGAAAGAGCAAGAAAAAGAUAUUAAAACAAUAAAAUUUGGGGGCUGUGGCUGUGGCUCAGUGAUAGAGCACCUGCCUUGCACAUGUGAGGCACUGGGUUUGAUCCUCAG
rnacentral:lncRNA from 1 species